rnacentral:rRNA from 1 species
CCUACGGGAGGCAGCAGUGAGGAAUAUUGGUCAAUGGCCGGAAGGCUGAACCAGCCAUGCCGCGUGAAGGUCAGUGCCCUAUGGGCGUUAAACUUCUUUUGUGCGGGAGCAAUAAUGGUCACGUGUGGCCAGACGAGAGUACCGUACGAAUAAGCAUCGGCUAACUCCGUGCCAGCAGCCGCGGUAAUACGGGGGAUGCAAGCGUUAUCCGGAUUUAUUGGGUUUAAAGGGUGCGUAGGCUGUGAGGUAAGUCAGUGGUGAAAUGCCCCCGCUCAACGGGGUGAAGUGCCAUUGAUACUGCCUGGCUGGAAUGCGGAUGCCGUGGGAGGAAUGUGUGGUGUAGCGGUGAAAUGCAUAGAUAUCACACAGAACACCGAUUGCGAAGGCAUCUCACGAAGCCGCGAUUGACGCUGAUGCACGAAAGCGUGGGUAUCAAACAGGAUUAGAUAUCCCAGUAGUC